rnacentral:tRNA from 1 species
ACUGGGUUGGCCGAGUGGUUAAGGCGUUGGACUUAAUUUCCAAUGGACAAGUGUCCGCGUGGGUUCGAACCCCACACCCAGUA